GGACAGAGUCGGGUCAGAAGAUCCUGCGGGUUUGGAUCAGCUGUGUGUCUGUGUGGCUUCAGCACAUGGUAUGACAGCGCCCCCAGCAGGCCUCCGUGGUGAUGUGAAGCCCUUUACAGCCGGGCUUCUGGGCCACAAAGGAGAACUCGCGCACUGCGCAGCCCCGGAAACUCUGGAGCGGCGUUGUCAUGGAGACGGACACCACGGCUGCCGCGGCAACAAGGAGGAGGAGUACGGAAAGGGAAAAGAGACGCAGCGGCAUGCUGGGUUGUACCUGAGGAAGAUGUUGUUGAUCUGUUUGCGGAUGUACGCUCGGAGGCCCAGUAAUUUUCCAUAGACGCGGUGCAGGAUGGUCUUCAGACUGUGAAGGUGAAAUAUAACCCUCGCUCAAUGUGGAGUAACUCGAAUGAAGAUGGGACUGAAAGAAGAAGAUAAAAUAAAGAACUGAAAACUGCAUUUGUAUUGAGAGCUCAAUUAAAGAAAAUCACAGCACUCGGCAAAGGUAAGCCACCGACGCCUGAUCCCCAAGCAGACUCAGGAAGAGAGUAGGCGUACAGAAAUUAACUCCAAUUCAGAAAACAAACGACUCCAUUAGGUAGGAAGGGAGUCCAGUCUGCAGCUGAAGAGGGAAAAUGUUGCUGUGAUGGAGAGGCUGCUGCGCCCGUUUCCCAAAUCAAUCAGUCAGGGAGACGAACUGAUGCUGUGAUUCAAUGAAGGCUAACAGGGGAAAAGCUUUACGGCUUCAGUCCAGACGAUUCCAGAGGUUCAACAUCAGUGGACAUCGUUUGUGGGGCAGCGGGGUGAGCUCCACCUGGGAGCUCUGGUAGCGGAACUGGGACGAGCUGUGGGACCUCCUCUGCCGCGCUCUGCGCAUCGAC